UUCCCUUUAUACAUGUCAUUUUAAUUUUGUUUUAGUAAAGCUGGAAUAUUCUGAUACAAGUUAAAAAGAGAUAUAUUCUUCAUAUUCUUCAAUUAAAAAAAUUGAAAUGCUGCCUUGAACCUAUUAUAAAUGAGAUAAUAUUAUUUUUAUUAGAUUAUGAAACUGAUAAUGCAGAUAAAUCAGUAUUCUUAGAAAUCUAAAGUGCUAGUCUAUAAAAGAUGUUCCUCCAGAAUGCUCUCCAUAGGCAACAGCAAUGAGUAAAGCAGUAUCUUUAUCACAGUGGGAUUUUGGAAGGUCUGUAUUAACUCCAGAAUAACACAACAGCAAAGAAAGGUGUGCUUUUACCAUGCUUAGUGCAGCAUCUACAGCUACACACUUGGGGUGUGUUUCCAUUCUUUCUACUGCACUUUUAAUCAUUUAUGGAAAGCACUUAAGCAGAAAUUUAUCCUUGAUCUAAAUAAGCAGAUAUUAAUGCAUGUGUAUGUUUAUAUGUGUUUAUAGAUAAUUAUUACACACAGUCAGGAAAACUACAGUUUCAUGUUUUAUGUUAAUGAAAUGGUCUUUUAUCUCUAGAUCACAAUAUUAGAGGUGUGCUGGGAACAUGAUGAGCAAAAGGCUCCCUGAGUGCUGCUGCAAAGCUGGUUGGACAUCCUGCCUUGGUUUCAGGCUAGUUUUGAACAGAGGCUUGUCCACUCAUAUUCCAGCAGUCACUUGGGUAACGGGAAUUCUUUCAUUUCCUUACAGAGCCCCUUAGUAAAAGUUUAGGCACAAACUCCACCUUUGAGUUUGGAGUCUGCCUCAUUAAAACAAUGUCUCCUCCCCUUCUGCUAACAAUCAACAGUUUUUUAACACGUCUGUAGUACUUUUUUUCCGUUAUAAAAACAGCAACUUUUUGAGAUAUCAUUUAACAUUCUCCCUGAAUAAUUGAAUUUACUCUUGAUGGGGCUGUCUUUUGUUCUAAGUGGAGAUUGCAAGAAGACACUAUAAAUAUAUAAAUAUCUGCUAAUAAAAGUGUCAGUCAUAACAGUGUUUAGAAUAACUGGGCAAAAUAACUGUGGAUUCUUCCUUACAGUGACAAGAAAUUAUAGAAAAUAACAGUGUUUGUCAGAUUAAUUUGAACAAAUAAUUUAUUGUUAUUUAAACUGUGGUAAGAAGAGGUGCUCUGAAAAUAUACCCAGUUCUUCUAGUGGCCUAAGUUCUUGAAAGGACUUUCUAAUUAAUUUUGAUGUGACUUCAUUAAGUCGCCAUUUCAAGAAGAUAUGCCAAUAUAUUUUCUUGAUCAGUAAUAGAUAAAAACAUUAAAUAUUAGCACCAACAUCAAGCAAAGUAAUACAAGACCCAGCAUAUCACAAAUGAACAAUGUGUAGCUGAGAAAGGAAAAAAUAAGAAUUCAGUACUCCAGGAAAUAAAAAAGUUACACAUCCUUUUCAUGAAGCUUUAAUGACCUUGUUAACAAUUACUUUGAGAAGUUCCAAGUGAGAAUGUCUAAGAUUAAAAAGCAGUAGUGAGCUUAAAGCUAUGUAAAAUGUCCUAUCUAAAGCUGUUAUCAAUUUAAUCAUUCAAACAAAGUAGCAAAUGUUACCAUUUUAUAAACUGGAAUUGCAAGGAGAUUUCUCCUAGAAAACCAUUCAUAUGCUAUAACUUUAGACGUGAUGUAUUACACACAUCAUGUUACAUACUUAUUAUUAUUAUAGUUGUCAGAUGGUGAAUUCUGUCACUUUUUUUCAAGAUAAUACACUUAGAGAUGGCUGUUCUAUAGAGUACAGUAUUUGGAAUGCAUGCAAUGAAUUUCUAGGCCCUUCAAGAACAUGAUAUUGUCUCAAUUUGAAUGGCUGGGAAGAUUCACAUUGACUCUGCUGUGUGUAGGGCUGCACUUUUAACCCAGGCUAAAUUUAAUGAUAUUCCCAUAAAUAACCAAGUCCAGGCAUUGUAGCUCAGCUCACGCAGGCAGAUCCUCAGCUCCAGAGCUCUGAUUAAGUCAACAGGGCUAGACAUCAGUACUGAUCUUGUGUGAUUGGAUUACAGGAUUGGAGCUGUGAUUUGUCCUACUGAAACCACUCUAAGGUACUUAAACAGAUAAAUCCCACUAUCAGAUUUCUUUUCUUAUUGAUUACACUUUCUGAAAUGCAAAAAAAAAAAAAAAAAGCCCAAAACAAAACCAAAAAAAUCCUAACCUUACUUUCUCCAUGUACCAUUAUGAUAAGGUGCAUGUGGGGCUGGAGGGACAACAGAAAUACUUCAAGGGGAAUAAUAGUAGAAGUGUGGUUUUCCUUUUUCACAAAAAGUUGUAAAAUAUUUGUGCUUUAUUUAUUUCCUCUGAGCCCAUUUCCAGUCCUUAGUUAACCCCACCCUCCCUGUGUGAUCUGAACUACUUGACAAUUUCUGUUAUAAAGGAAAAUCAUGUCUAGGUUGCUUCCUGUCUCAAGUUUUAAUUCAUGCCUUCUCAUCCCAUGUUUCUGACAAAAUACCCUAUCAAAUCAAACCAAGAAUAUGUUCAAAACACUCUUUUUUAAUCCUUUGGUCUUUCUGGUUUUCUCUCCAUGAGUUUGUUCCUUGCCUCUCAGGUUUGUAUGUUAGGUUGAGAGGAGUCAUCUUGUGUAUCACAUUAUCUUACCAUGGCACCUGUGAAUAACAAAGAUUGACCAGAAAUAUUUUCACUUAUAAAAUCAUUCUUUUAAACUAAGUAUAGUAACAAUAGCCAUAUACAAAAUGGAAUUAAACCUGUUGUUUCAAUACGGGCCUUUAGAAAAAUCAAUUCCUAUGGGUUGAAAGAGAAACUGUUCAAAAACCCAUUCAGGAAUACCUAGAAUUACUUAUGGAUACCUAAUGGAAAUAUAUUAGAAUUAACUGUAAAUGGAGUGAGUAGCAAAAAAAGCUUGAAGAACUGACUGUAACAAAAUAUCCAGUGAUGGAAGUCUCUGCAAACUUCUGCUUGCCAGCGCUGGCAAGUAAAUAGUUUAGCUAAAAAGAAGGAAAGCAGAAGAUACAGCUAUCAACUGCAAACGAAUUAUUAUAAACCAGAAAGAAAAUGUGAGGAAGAGCUCUGAAAAUUAUGAUUGACAGUGACAACACAGACCAGACAGCUUUUAUUUUAAGCAACAGAUUGUUGGGAACAUACACCGUAUAUCAAAGUGAGGGACUUGAAACCUGCUGUCGUCUGUACAGAUGUUCUCACUCAGAAAGCAGAGGGAACAGAAGAUAAAAGAAGGCUGUCCAACUUCAAAAAAAGGUUUGAAUUUUCAUUCUGUUUUGACAAGUUUUUGUGCUAGUCUCUGAUUUUCAGCGUGAUAGAAAAUUCAGCAUCUACAAACCUGACUUAAAGUGAGAAACACCUGAAGGGGUACAAGAGAACCCUUAAGAAGGUGCUAUACAACAUCAUGAAAUACUUUUUGUUUUACUCUUAAAUGCUUUUAUAUGGAAGGAGGCAGAAAUUGGAAAUGCUGUAACUGUUGUAGAUCUGGAGCAGGUCAUACGUGCUUGCAGUCAGCAUGCAGUACUGGAAUGCAAGGCUAAGGUCUGAGAGGCGAUUUAGGAAUCCCUGCUGCAGAAAAGAUUUUUUUAUGAUACAAAGCAAGACAGGAUUACUGAGCUCAGAAGGGUUAUUUGUGAAUAACUUCCAGCUAAAGUGAUUAAGGGCUUCAGCCACUAGCCCCAGAAAAAAAAAAAAACAACAAAGAGCAUCAGAAACAUCCUGCUUGUCAUUGCUGCUGGCUUUUUGUUCAGUGAGCAAGAGGUCUGUGUUGGUUUUGGUCCUUUGCCCUUGGGGGCACUUUUAACAAAACAUAAUACUUGAAAGAAUUCCAAAAUGUGUUUAUUUUUUUUCUUUUCUUUGAACUACGAGGUUAAAGAUAAAUAAAAGAGUAUUUUGAUAUGUCUAAAAAAUACUUGUGAUAACAAAUAGACAAAGCACUUCCUAACGUUCAAGACUGCAAGUGCACUUUACAAACAUUCCACAAUUCUUGAUAACAAAAUCCCCAUCCAGUACUUUUUUUUUAAAUGUAAAAUAAAGCACUCCAACCUCUUUUAAAAAAUCAUCUAAGAAAUGUGAAUAUCUUCAGCAGAAUCUUUAAUACCUGUGUUUGGUUUAAGGUUUUUGGGUUUUUAAAUUUUAAGUUGCUGUAAUAGCUGCCAGAAAAAGCAAGAGCCAAGAAACAUACUGAAGAGAUAAAUGUUGUGAUGAGUGUGAAUUGGUAAGAGGUUCCUCUGGCAAUCUCAGCUUUGCAGAGAGGAAAUUUGGGCUCCUGUUCAGAUGAGUUACUCUUACAGAAUUUUACAGUAUGAGAUGAACAAAGAGACUACCACAAAGUCUUAGGCCACCAACUUAAAUCCGACUUCAAAGCAUUUCAGAUCCUAAUAGGAAGAGAUUUGGAUAUGCACAGAGCAGCAUGUCUAUUUCUGAAUUUAUUUGCAAAAGCAUUGAGAAUUCCUUAAUAUUCCCCAUUGCAGGUAUCAUGCCCAAUUAUAUAAAUGCAUGCAAAACUACUGAUAAACCAUCUGAAAGUGAUGACAAUAUGAGUAAUUAAGGCUGUAUCACAUCACUGUCAUAGUGGGUGGCUGGAAUAUCGUGGACAAAGGUUACAAUUUACUGUUUCAGGAUCUGCCAUACAAAAAGCCAUGGGGAACCUACAGUGAUGUGGAGGGACUACUCAUAGCACUUUCUUAGCCAUGGAGGUCUAACCAGAUGCCAAAACUUUACAGAACUUUAUUAUAUUUAUUGUAUUCAGUUUUGUCCUCUCUUUUUUUUUCUGUUUGAAUGCUUGUUUUGAGGGACAAUAUGAUCUCAGCAUUCAUCAUUAAGAAAAAUAGUACACAUUAAUUUUGUACUCGGAGUAUCAGCCUUUUCUUCAGGGUUGCCAAUACCAGUUCUUUUCAGAAUACAGCCCAUAAUAAUAACAUUCUUCCUCAAAACUAUCACUUGUGGCAGCAAGGGACUCCAGACCAAAAAAAAAACUAAGUUUUUUGAGUCCAGAAUCAAAAAGUCACCUGAUAGCAGCUCUCAAAAGAGAGAUCUCUGAAGGGUGAAUGGCUUCUGUUUUAAUACAUUUAGUGCUCAACAUUAAACAGAGGAUAAGUGUUUAUUCUACUCCUUUAAUGGGAGUAUUUCAUUCAGCAAAAAAAACAAAAGCUCUGGCACAUCUGUUGAUAUCAUGGUGAUUUUAACUGCAGAGAAGCACCAGCAAUGUUUAUGCUGGAUGAUGCAAGAGUUGCUGUGGCCAUUACAUGUAUUUCCCAUGGUUUGCUUUCCCCUUUAAAAUGAAGCUGUGCUGUAAGACUGGAGCAAAUUAGUCAGGAAAUACCUUGGAACUCCAUUGAAAAUAACUGGCUUGUUAAGGCUUCUUAAAAAAAAAAAGUGUGUAAAAAUGCACAUUAACGAAUACUGUGGCUAACAUCAUUAAACUAGCCUUAAGUUCAAAUACCAGAUUUCCAAGAUCAGGUAUAAGCGUUAAGCCCUUUUAUUCUCACGGAAGUUUUUAAUUUGUUUGGUUUCUGUAAACACACAUCUCUCAAAUUGUACCUCUGAAAAAACCACUCCCUGCCUGACUUCACAUUGUCAGAAACACAGUUUCUUCAAGUACAUCUGUUCAAUUUAUACAGUGAAAAAUUGGAAUGAGAAGCAUCAAAACUACCACUUGUCUUUUAAAAAAGAUUUUUAUUUCUGUUUUUAAAUAGCUUGACAAAACCCAUCCAUUGGUACUCUGAGUUCAAUUGUAAACAGUUACAAUACAUUACCGCUGUGUAUUGAUUUUGUACAUUAACCUACUUGCAGUGACAAUCCAUAAGACAAGGCAAACUGAAAUGCACUGUACUAAGAUGUACUAACAAUGCCAUAACUGAAAAUACUCCAAAGACUGAUGUGUAACUCCCUCCUGUGGUGUGAGUGAGCAGCUUCACAGUCAACAGCUUCUGGCAGCUUGGGGAGCACUCCCGAUAUUCCAAAGUUCAGAUUUCAAGUCUACUAUGGAAACUUCUCUCCCAAGUUAAAAGUGUCACAAUACAUUUUUAAAAUACAUACAAAGUUGUAAACAUAUUUGUCUGGAACAAAAAAAAUGAAUGGUUUGUGCCAGCCUUCUUCACCUCCCACAUUGCAAUAAAAAAUAAUAAUUUAAAAAAAAUAGGGCCAAAGACCAAGGCCAUGGACUAAAAUUGUUCUGCAGGGAUGACAUCACAGUUUACAGGAAGUAUUGAGUAUCAGCUUUGAAAAUCAGUCACCAUCAGGUAGGAGAACCCAUUUUCAAGAAAUGGUUUCACUCAAUUUCAAGUGAUGAAUCAGGCACUAAAUAUUCAAUUUCCCUACUUUUAAGAACAAAAGCGUAAAUUACAUUUAGGAAUUAUGUUUGAUAAUAGCUAAAAUUGACAUAAAAUUAAACUUACACUUUUGCAAGUUUGGGUUUUGACCACUUUUGUUAUCAAGUUUAUAGCAAUCUUCCAUGAAGAAGGAAGGAAUUUGCAAAACAGACUAUACAUAUAUAGAGAUCAUACAAAGAAAAUAAAAUGGACCUUUUCAAGGCAGAUUUUCUUUGUGGAAGUCCUUCUGGUCUUUUUCUAAAAUGCUUUAGCUUUUAAAUUUAUUUUAUUUUUAACAAUGAAAUAUCCAUCUUAGUCUGAAUCUUGUAUCACUAAUUCCAAAAAGACUGAGAUUUUGGGAUGCAGUAGAGGAUUAAUUUCAAAAUACAAUAGGAUUUGCUUUUACCAGUGCAGGCUGGUAAAGGAUAGCAUAAUUCUAGGAGUUCUGUAUUUAUUCUCAUUUUCACACUGUCAGGAGAUUGAUAUCUAUGACCUUGUAAUUUAAAUAUGAGUUGAUCAUAAGUAUCAGUAUAUUCAUAGGUUGAUUUUAAAGUUCUAUCAAGUACAGCUCUUCCUUGAGGAUUAGAGGCUCUACAGUCUAAAAAGGGUUCUCCCCCCACCCUCAGUUACUGGCUGUGCAUCACAGAAACAAGUGGCAGAACACAUUUUAUUCUGUGCAUUCUUAGGGGGAAAAAAAAAGUUUUAAAAUACUCCUGUGAAUGUGCCCUUUAAUUUUUUUGAAAAGUUACACUAAGCUCUAAUCUUAAUGUAUUUUGUAAGCCCCAAAUUCUAGCUGCAAUUCUCAGCUGUCAGAGGUAUCACAUAAUCAAAUUAUAUAUUGGAUUUUAAUUAAAGCAGCUGUUUUGUAGAGGAAAAAAGCAGAAAAAUGUCACAUUGACUACAUACUGCUCUGUCAGUUAUACCACCUGUCAUACAACCUAAUGAGAGAUUAUGGAGUCUUACAUCUCUACAUGGUUUCUGUCAAUUUGUUGUGCAUAAUUAAUUACAGGACAGUGUUUCUGAGGUGGAACAAAAUAUCAGCAUAUGCUUAUGCUGAGAAAUUACAGGGAGAGAACUAUAUGCAUGACCAGGCCAUGAAAACAAAAGAAGCAACCUGUGAAUGAGAUUAUAUAUUAGGAGAGUACAUACAGGCUUGCCUCUUCCAAAAAUUAAAUGUUUAUACCUAUAAGGGGCAAAGAUAGAGAGAAGAAGAAAGGAAGCAAACUUUGGCAAAAUUUAAGAAAGUGCUGUCUUUGUAGCCCUAAUAAUAACUUUUAAAAAAAGAGAAAUAAACCACAAACAACAAACCACCAAACCUCAAACAACAGCAAAACCAAAUCCAACACUGAAAAAGCAAAAGGCUAAAAAAUGUCUACAGCUAGAACUGUCCCCUGUGCAGGAUGAUGCAGACACACGAUUGCUAAGAUUGCACUGGCUAAAACCACAUGGAGAAGUAACAGCACCAUCUCUACUGCAUUUAGCACUGCAACAUCAGAAAGUAAAUAAGCAUUUGCAUAAGCAUCCCAACAUCAUACUGUGCUAAAACACUUUAUCUGCAUGCAGAGCUCUGUGCACACACAUUUAAAAGUAUAUUUUCUUUUCAAAGCAGUACACCAUGUAGUAAAUUUUCACUCAAGUGUAACUACUAGGAAAUUGUCUAAAUAUUGAGUAUUUUCUUAUUUCUGUUCUAAUGGCAGAAAUAAAACUUUGCUGUGUAGUGCAGGGAGGAUCUGGACGCUAAUGAAUGAAAAUUUAUAUAGCACAAGUUGUUUAGCAGAACCCUGACACUUUGCUUAGAAAUAACCUCUUUCUAGAGAAGGAUGAGAGACAAAAAUACAGAAAUACAAAGGCAACUCCUGGUUGAGUAUAAAGGUCCCUUACCCUACUAAGAAUGUUAUUUUUUUGUACUAUAAUAAUCAUCUGAGACAGCCCUAACAGCACAUUAACUCAGUUUUCCACAUUGGACAUAGUGAGGCCAUGAAACUCCACACAAACUGGUUCUUGGCCAGGACUCCUUCCAUCUUUUGAGAUGAGUUAAUAUCAAAACAUCUGUAAGAAGAGAACAACGUCCUAAACCAUAGUGUUAGAUUUAACUAUAUUUUCAAAGGAUGGAUGCCAUCCUUCAGGUUCCUUAUUCUCUCUGCAGACAGGAAAAGCCAUUUAAACAUUGUCUCAGUCAGGGCAGGCAGUUCUCUUAGUGCAAGAACAGCAUUUCAAUCCAUGGCCUCCCCAGGUUUAAAGUGCAGUAUAUUACAUGAGAUUUUAACAUACCAAACUAUCCUUUAUUUGAAUUUCAGAAGGAAUGUUCAAGUUAAAAUUACCUUUUAGGUUUCAAGCAAUAAAAUUCAAGGCAAGUUACAUGAACUAUCUUAAAAUGGAUUAAAUCCACUUACUUAAGUAUUCUUUGUAUCUUAUGUUCAAUAUACAUGUAAUACACAACAAACAUCCAUAAUUUCACUUAGUUAUAUUGUAUUUAAAGUGAUCCUGUAAUAAGUGAUGAAAGGCCACACACUCAAACAAGAUUUUGCUUAAAACAGGACUGUAUUAGCUGGACUGUGAUCCAUAACACAGUUCAAUAUUCCAAGAUCUCCUCCUCCAUAGGCUUGUCAAUAAGGAGAAGGCACUCUGCUGUACACACAUUUAAAUUCGAGUUUAUUGGUGGUGUCUCUAAUGUUUCAUUUUCCCCCCCUUUGAAAUCACCACGAAAAAAAAAGGUGCAUUAAAAACUGGAUUGAUGUUUUUAUGCCUUUAGCUACUCCUCUUGCCUAUUAACCUGACAAUCUCACCUACAAGUUGCUAGAACUAUGGUUCCCAAAACAUGUAGAUCCGAAAUGAGACACAGCAGAGAAUGUUCCAGGCCAAACCAGUCAGCUGCACAAACAAGAUCUCAAGUAACAACUGCAGGUACAGCUGUGCCAAUUGAUCCUUUGUACAGGAGGUCCAAGCACCCACGUUUUGGGUGCAGGACUGUGUUCAUGCACAUCUUAAGGUAAGGCUCACCAUACAGGGAGGGUAUGGCUGUACCUAUGGAGCUGCAUAGAGAGAUUAAUAUGGACUUACACAACGUUGUCUUUAGCAAUCAAGCCAGCCUAAACAGGCUUCAACCCCUCCCUGCCUUCAUUCCUCUGCCUUCAGCUCUGCCAAGUGUUUUUUCGGGUCAAGAUACAGGCAGACAGCAGCUUAACACUAACUCCAAGCCAGAGACAUUUGGAGAAGUGUCUUUGUUUCUGGUGUUCUGGGAUGUGAGAUCCACAUCCCUUCAGGAAUCUUGAACCUCUGCAACACCACAUGUUAAAUUGUGUUAAUACCACUCACACAAGGCUGAUAAAUUCCAGCAGUGGAGAUGAGAGUGAAUAGCUUGACUAAGAGGGAACUGUUGCUGUCAGGGUAAUUACUUAAAAUACAUAAUCCAGUAUUAUUUUGAGGCUUUUGGUCACUUUGUGACAGAUAAUUGCAUGGUCAAAGGUCUACAAGUUAAACAAUCAUUUAAAUGCACACCAGGGAAAGUUAUUUUCUAAAUUAAAGUAAGUGGCUUUUCAUCUCUUUUAGCAUCCAAAAGAAAGAAUCAGCCAAUGGGGAUCAUGAAACGCAACAUACCAUUUAACAUAAAAACUAAUAUAUCUUAUUUUCAGCAUUCAAGAUUUUAAAACUUCAACACUUCUCUCCCUAAGACUGAUAACCAGCAUCUUAUCUUCAUAAUCAAGGACUUCUCUACACAUGUGUGCUAACAGUCCAAUAACCACCACACUGGAAAUUCUGCUGGCUUUCCAGAAGCCACAGGUUUUUAUUAUACUGCAAAUUUCCCAGACAGAAUUGUGCAAAACGUACAAAAUUGUCUCCUGGGCAGCAGGAGCUGAAGUCUCCAGAAAUGCUACGAGCUUCUUCCAGCCAGCCUGUCACUGAAAUGCCACCAAUGCAGUGAGAAACCCUAUUGAGACUGUCUUGCCCAGAAGAAAAAUGCAGAUGAAAUGAAUCCUUCCAAGGAGCAGCUGCACUUGAGUUCAUCCCUGCUGUUUCACUGAAACUCAGAGGCAUUUCCUUGCCAACAGAAGACAGAGGUAUGGUAUUACAGAGAGAACAAUUCCUGGUGUUACAUAAUUCUUGUAAACUGCUACUAUGAGUUUGAGAACUGUCCAACAUGGAAUGCAUGUGUGUCAGAUGAGCUGCCGGCUUAUGAUCAUCUGGGCCAUUGUCACAUACUCGUUUCUGGGUAAAGUCUUCUUUCUUCAUAGUCCUAGAGCACAGCUUUGCUGCUUCUCAACAGGCUGGAUUUGAAGUGUGACUGACUGUAGUUGCAGCAUACAGCAGAAGCAGCACACCAAGUCACAAGUCAAUGGAUCUCAAUAUGGACCUAAAGAGAGAGAAUGCAGGGAGUUAAUACACUGAUACCCCAGUUUCCUGGUUCCCAGUGUAUUGAACCAAAAAUAAUUUUAAAUCUUUCACAUUAAGAAUAACCCAGCUACAGAAAGUAACAGUUGUCCCAACAGACGAGUCUCCCUACAGGCUGCUUGAGCACAUCCAGAGGGGUAGGAAGUACGCCCAAAUACCAGCUGCCCUUCUGUAGUUCAGUUUAAUCUGCUACAAAUUCUCUUUUGGUGACAGGCAUGAAAGUGAGUCAGCAAACGAGCAGCCAGAGGGAUCUGCUGUGUAACAGCAGCAUUUCAUUUAACCAAUAGAAAAGCAGGCUGGGAUUGAUUAGGGGCUUAACAUAAAAGGUUAAUAUUAAAGUAAUCCUCCUGUAAACAGAAGUGCAAGCUGAAAUCAGACACACAGCACUGGAAAUCAACAGCUUCCCAGAGGGAACUGGUCAGACUGGCUGCCCCAGCAGUUAGCGGGUGUCAGCUGUAGCACAAAGGACAAGCUGGUGGUGUUCCAGGAGAACCAUUCUGUUCAACACCGAUAAUGAGCAAAGACAAGGCUUUUUCAGCUACCAAGGUUACUAGGCUACGUGUACAACUCCUGGCCAUCUGGCUCAUUUUCAGGCUUCAGAACUGUGGGCAAAUCCCAAAAACAAAAAUAGAAGAUGCCACAUUUUGGUCUCUUCCCAUUUCAAAUUAUCUUUUACCAGUAACAAACUCCCACCAGACUUGUUUUUCAACCCUUGGCUACUGGCCAGAUGUCAAAACUUUGAUUACAGCUAUGUUUACGAGGAGAAAGUGUCCAAUUCUUGGCUAGAACAGUUGUUUGUAGUGACAGUGCACAGCCUGCUUUUGUUGCCAGUUAAGUUAAAAGCAAAUCUCAUUUCAUCACAAAAACAACGAAACUUCAACCCCACAACAGGUCAAAGCUGUGUUAGAGAGUUCCACAUUUUGUAGAAACAGGCUCAAAACAGAAGAGAUACAAAUUAAAUCUGAACCGUCUUUUUCAUGCAAUAAACUUGUAUUUAAAACUGUC